AGUUUCUAAGGAUCAUGUCUGCGAGCCAGGAUUCCCGAGUAACUGGAAUGAGAUUGUUGACAGCUUUGAUGACAUGAACCUCUCGGAGUCCCUUCUCCGUGGUAUCUACGCCUAUGGUUUUGAGAAGCCCUCUGCCAUCCAGCAGCGAGCCAUUCUACCUUGUAUCAAGGGUUAUGAUGUGAUUGCUCAAGCCCAAUCUGGGACUGGGAAAACGGCCACAUUUGCCAUAUCGAUUCUGCAGCAGAUUGAAUUAGAUCUAAAAGCCACCCAGGCCUUGGUCCUAGCACCCACUCGAGAAUUGGCUCAGCAGGUAAGAGUGGCUUCUAUUCCCUCCUUCAGGGCUGAUUUAGGGAUGAUGAGUAUAAUCCAAGGACCAGAGAAGUCUUCUCUGAUCACCACCUUGGGAGGAAGACAUGGGUGCCCUAACACUCUCGAGACCUGCUGGGUUAAUUAAAAGCUAUUUCUUACCCAAACGUAACCAUUGCUUCCUCCACCCAUUUCCUGAGUCAAAUGGGAAGGCUGUUGGGUGAAGCCUGGCUGGCUGGGCAAGUUUGACUGUG
rnacentral:sRNA from 1 species